GGCGCUGAAAGAUGCUGAAGAUGGUCCAGGGUUGCUUCAGGGUCAGAGCCCUCUCACAGCUAUGUGUUUCCGGGACUCUCAAUGACCAGUUUCUGUGUGGCAUACAUCUGGCCGAUAGUAACCUGCCGAUGAAUAAUCUCUAGGUUUUCUUUUGCUUUAUUCACUAGUUCUUCUAUUUUUUCAGAAUCCUUUAUACUCUUGUUUUC
rnacentral:lncRNA from 1 species